rnacentral:rRNA from 1 species
AGAGUGAACGCUGGCGGUAGGCCUAACACAUGCAAGUCGAACGGCAGCACAGUAGGAGCUUGCUCUUACGGGUGGCGAGUGGCGGACGGGUGAGGAAUACAUCGGAAUCUACCUUUUGGUGGGGGAUAACGUAGGGAAACUUACGCUAAUACCGCAUACGCCCUUCGGGGGAAAGCCGGGGACCAGCAAUGGCCUGGCGCUGAUAGAUGAGCCGAUGUCGGAUUAGCUAGUUGGUGAGGUAAUGGCUCACCAAGGCGACGAUCCGUAGCUGGUCUGAGAGGAUGAUCAGCCACAC